GCAGCAGCCGCGGUAAGACAGAGGAUGCAAGCGUUAAUCGGAAUUACUGGGCGUAAAGCGUGCGCAGGCGGUUAUAUAAGACAGAUGUGAAAUCCCCGGGCUCAACCUGGGAACUGCAUUUGUGACUGUAUAGCUAGAGUACGGCAGAGGGGGAUGGAAUUCCGCGUGUAGCAGUGAAAUGCGUAGAUAUGCGGAGGAACACCGAUGGCGAAGGCAAUCCCCUGGGCCUGUACUGACGCUCAUGCACGAAAGCGUGGGGAGCAAACAGGAUUAGAUACCCCCGUAGUCCCUGUCUCUUAUAC
rnacentral:rRNA from 1 species